GACGAACGCUGGCGGCGUGCUUAACACAUGCAAGUCGAGCGGUAAGGCCUUUCGGGGUACACGAGCGGCGAACGGGUGAGUAACACGUGGGUGAUCUGCCCUGCACUUCGGGAUAUGCCUGGGAAACUGGGUCUAAUACCGGAUAUGACCUCCUAUCGCAUGGUGGGUGGUGGAAAGAUUUAUCGGUGCAGGAUGGGCCCGCGGCCUAUCAGCUUGUUGGUGGGGUAAUGGCCUACCAAGGCGACGACGGGUAGCCGACCUGAGAGGGUGACCGGCCACACUGGGACUGAGACACGGCCCAGACUCCUACGGGAGGCAGCAGUGGGGAAUAUUGCACAAUGGGCGAAAGCCUGAUGCAGCGACGCCGCGUGAGGGAUGACGGCCUUCGGGUUGUAAACCUCUUUCAGCAGGGACGAAGCGCAAGUGACGGUACCUGCAGAAGAAGCACCGGCUAACUACGUG
rnacentral:rRNA from 1 species